rnacentral:rRNA from 1 species
GACGAACGCUGGCGGCGUGCUUAACACAUGCAAGUCGAACGGAAAGACCCUGCUUUUGUGGGGUGCUCGAGUGGCGAACGGGUGAGUAACACGUGAGUAACCUGCCCUUGACUUUGUGAUAACUUCAGGAAACUGGGGCUAAUACCGGAUAGGAGCUCCUGCUGCAUGGUGGGGGUUGGAAAGUUUCGGCGGUUGGGGAUGGACUCGCGGCUUAUCAGCUUGUUGGUGGGGUAGUGGCUUACCAAGGCUUUGACGGGUAGCCGGCCUGAGAGGGUGACCGGCCACAUUGGGACUGAGAUACGGCCCAGACUCCUACGGGAGGCAGCAGUGGGGAAUAUUGCACAAUGGGCGGAAGCCUGAUGCAGCAACGCCGCGUGCGGGAUGACGGCCUUCGGGUUGUAAACCGCUUUCGCCUGUGACGAAGCGUGAGUGACGGUAAUGGGUAAAGAAGCACCGGCUAACUACGUG